rnacentral:rRNA from 1 species
ACGAACGCUGGCGGCGUGCUUAACACAUGCAAGUCGAACGGUGAAGCGCCUUCCUUUUUGGUGGGUGUGGAUGAGUGGCGAACGGGUGAGUAACACGUGAGUAACCUGCCCCCUUCUUCUGGAUAACCGCAUGAAAGUGUGGCUAAUACGGGAUAUUCUGGGUCUGUCGCAUGAUGGGUCUGGGAAAGAUAUUGUUUCGGUGGGGGAUGGGCUCGCGGCCUAUCAGCUUGUUGGUGGGGUGAUGGCCUACCAAGGCGGUGACGGGUAGCCGGCCUGAGAGGGUGGACGGUCACACUGGGACUGAGACACGGCCCAGACUCCUACGGGAGGCAGCAGUGGGGAAUAUUGCACAAUGGGCGCAAGCCUGAUGCAGCGACGCCGCGUGAGGGAUGGAGGCCUUCGGGUUGUGAACCUCUUUCGCCAGUGAAGCAGGCCUGCCUCGUUUGUGGGUGGGUUGACGGUAGCUGGAGAAGAAGCGCCGGCUAACAACGUG